rnacentral:sRNA from 1 species
UAUCAGAGGAUGGUUUCGAUCCAUCCACUUCUGGGUUAUGAGCUGAGCAUGCUACUGUUGCCCCACUCUGCU